rnacentral:rRNA from 1 species
UUGGAGGGCAAGUCUGGUGCCAGUAGCCGCGGUAAUUCCAGCUCCAAUAGCGUAUAUUAAAGUUGUUGCAGUUAAAAAGCUCGUAGUUGAAUUUCGGGAUCAAUGGAUCGGUCAUGCCGUUGGUAUGUACUGGUUUUAUUGAUUCUCACCUUCUAAAGAACCAUGAUGGCAUUAAUUUGUUGUUGUGGGGAAUUAGGACUGUUACCUUGAAAAAAUUAGAGUGUUUAAAGCAGGCUUACGCUUGAAUACAUUAGCAUGGAAUAACGAAAUAGGACAUCGCAUUCUAUUUUGUUGGUUUCUAGGAUCGAUGUAAUGAUUAAUAGGGAUAGUUGGGGGCAUUAGUAUUCAAUUGUCAGAGGUGAAAUUCUUGGAUUUAUUGAAGACUAACUACUGCGAAAGCAUUUGCCAAGGAUGUUUUCAUUAAUCAAGAACGAAAGUUAGGGGAUCGAAGACGAUCAGAUACCGUCGUAGUCUUAACCAUAAACUAUGCCGACUAGGGAUCGGAUGAUGUUAAUUUUUUAAUGACUCAUUCGGCACCUUACGGGAAAC